ensembl:lncRNA
GGGUGGGGGGGCGGGGUGGGGAAGUUUUAAGAGCCAGCAGUCAUCACCUCCCAUGCCCCCCACCCUUUGGCCGCUGGGAUUCCGGCGGCAUGUGGAGGGAGCUUCUGGCCCAGCUUCCGGUGAGCCGCCGCCUGCCCACACCUCGAGGCCUCUGCUGUGCCAGGGAGGCUCCGACUGACCCCUGCACGAGGCCCACGUCCGGUCACUUGGCCGCCUCAGGAUAGCGGCCUUCCCGGAGCGGCCGCCUCCCGUCCUCGCGCCCCAGCUUCCGGUCCAGGUCCUGCUGUGCCCCACCUGGGUGCAGCCCGCCCGGAGUCCACCGCGGCGAGGCCCUCCAGCGGGCCUGGAGUCGAGCCCCUGGGGCGGCGGGCCCUGGGCCGUCCGGGCGAGCUCCCGAGGCAGCGCCCCCGCUCCUCGCCCCUCCACGAGGCCGGCCUCGGGGGCCCGGCCUGGCGCCGCCAGGCCCCAGCGCCGCGGGGGCACUUGGUCCUGUUGGGUUGGCGCGCUGGGCACGGUGAGUAGGCGCCGCCGUCCCGUCCGAGAGCCGCUGUCCCUCCGUGUGCAGGCGCGCCCGGCCCCCGGGCCCCAGUUGGGGCGGGCUAGAGAGCGGGGCGCUCGACCUUCCAGCGGCCUGCCGGCCUUCGAGGGAGCGCGGCCUGGCGCGUCCGCGUUACGUGCUUACGUCAGCUCCCGGGCGCCCUCCGAGUGUGGCUGCCGUGCCGAUGGCCCGCGGGCGCCUCAGGGUUAACGCGGGGAACCGAGGACGGCCUGCCGACAGCCAGCCCGGCCUCAGAGGCAGCGCCGCCCGCGCCUCCUUCCCUCAUGUCGCCUCUUCUCGGCAGAAGUCUGUGUCCAGCCCCUGUUGGCCGGUGAUCCCAGCGUCUCCGCGUGACACUGCCGGAUGGGGUCGUUUUUACUCAAACAAACAGAAGAGCGUUCGGCGUGCCUCAGUUUCUCUUGCAGCAGUUCCCACUCAGUUCUCUUUACUUGGAUUGGCAUCGGGAUCAGAGACCAAACUUUCAGUAACAUCAUAAAAACGUAAAAAGCAACAACCAGCAAGUCUUACGGGAAAAGAAAGUGUCUCAAGUCCAGGAAAGAAAACUGAGGAAAAGCAGCUGUCAUCACACUCAGCCUUUCUGAGCCAUUAAUUUUGUUGUAGACUUCUCCAGAGCAACUCCGUUCUCUAUCCCUGCUCAGCUCACUUGUGGGAGAACAGAAGGUCAGCAUUUUCUCUGAACACAUCAUGCAUUUUGACUUGGGCAGCACUAGCUUUCAUACAAAACAGCUGAAAUAGGGAAUUCCGGUUUGUGUUCUUCACCAGCAGGGCCGUCUGUAUCCGCUUCAGCCUGGGGAGCAUCUGUCCCCAGGCCCUCCCUCCUUUUGUUUCCUAAGGCUCCAUCCUUGGCUCUUGCUGGCACCAGGCUGCCCAUGCUCUUGUGCAAUGGAUAUGAUUUGGGGUGAACUGAAUGUUGCUACCUGAUCUCAUUCCCUACCUUGGUGUUGCCCCCUCUCUGAUCAUCUUCAGCCUUGAAAUCCCCACAGGAACUCCUGUUGUCAGGCUCUCUGUCCUCCACUACCUCAAUUCACAAUUCUGCUCCUCAGUUCACAGGCUGCUGCUAAGUGCUGUGAGGAAGUUUACAGGGUGACAGGAGAGACAACAAGAGGAGGGACCUACUCAGAGAGGGUGGUGUGGGGCUGAGGACUCCCGGGGCUGACCCUGCACACCCCGGGGAUCUUUUGGUUCAGCUUCUAUGUCUUAUGUGUCUGUGUAUCUUAGAUCACUCCCCUGGGCAAUCCUGCCAAAUGCAUUGCUUCCCUUAUCUCCUCCAUGCAGGCAAUCCUCUCUUCUGAGCUCAAGUCCUGUGUUUCCAGAACUGCCUUGGUAUCUUCUUCUGGGUGCCCACUGGCCCCUCAGCUACAACAUGUCCCAUAUCCACCUCCCGUUUUCCAAUUCCUAUUUUCCAUUCCAGCAUUGCCCCUUUCAGGUCUCAGGGCCUUUGUCACAUCGCUUCUUGCUAGAGUGCAUCCCCAGCUCAGCUACAUUCUGCAUGGCUCCUCCUCAUCCUUCUGGGUUUAGCGUAAUGUCACCUGUACAGAGAGUCUGUCCCAUACCACCCUCUCUGAGUAGGUCCCUCCUCUUGUUGUCUCUCCUGUCACCCUGUAAACUUCCUCACAGCACUUAGCAUCACUUGUACUUAUUUGUUUUAUCUUUUCCUUGUCUGUGGUCUGAAUUCCUGGUUGGAUUACAAGCUCCAUAAGGCAGGACCUAAGUCUGUUGUUUUCAGCACUAAAUACUCCGAGGGCAGUGCCUGGCACAUAGCAGGAGCAUUAGGACCGUGUGGUGAAUGGGCGGAUGGACUUUGCUGCCAGCCAGUCCCUGAACUUUGGAGUCAUGUUGACUUUCUCCUCUCCUUUGCUCUCCAAAUCCAAUCUCAAGCCUGUUAACUCUCUUGCUCUAAACCAGGCCCUCAUUUCUGGAUUAUUACCAUAGUCUCCUAAUGAGUGGCCUGUUUUAUCUGUUCCCUCUUAGUCUUUGUUACCCAUUACUGCCUGGUGACUUUUCUUGAAGUAUUUGUCAGGACUAUUACUUUUCAUAGUCAAACGUCUUGUACUUCCCUUGUACCUUAACCUGGCAUUUGAGGUUUCCCAGUUUUGUUUUCCAUCACUUCCCUUCCCAUACUGUCUGUCUAGUCAAGCUGCAUCUCUCGUGCACCAUUCACACCCUGCCAACAUGCCUGUGCCCAUGUAUUUCCAUUAGCUGUACCCUCCUCCACCUUAGUUUGUCCAUCCCCAAGCCCACACCCCUGUCCCCAGCUAGAAUUAGAUCCUAUUCUCUCAGAGUUUUCUGAGUUUUAUCUUUGCUCUUUAAUGACACAUCACUUUCUACCUUGUAGUGUUUGUUUAUACACAUGCUGUUUUCCUAGGUGAACUGUAAACUCCUCAACAGAGAGGACUAUGUACUUUUUGCGCUUUAUUUAUUCAAUACCUAGAAAAUUUGAGUUCAAUAAAUACUUGCUUAAUGAAUGCACAAGUGAUAUGUAAUCUCCAAGGCAGAUAAGCUACACUAAGUAGGUUAAGAGAUGCCAGGUACUGUGAAAUGUGGGAGUGGAACAAAUAAGAUUCCGUAGUUCAGGACCAUUGUAGCUCUUCUCUCAAAAAGGGCUCAUCUACUGGGGAGGUCCAAGGCUUCUCCAUUACCUUCCUCUUUGGACCUUGAACUAGCCAUGAGGACCCUAGCUCAGAGGCCAUGUCAGAGAUGGGUCUGAUGCCUGGCUUCAUGUCGUCUUUCACCCUAUUAUCUUAGCUUAGAGCUGACUGGACAAAAUUUUGCUGAAACCAAAAAUGACCACAAGAAACUUGGAUCUAGAUUGGAACUGGCCUAAUGGAGAAUGGGACAGUUACCAAUUUUCCUUCAUCUUCCUAUUCCUCUCUCCUUCUCAGACAUUAGGAUCUAAGUCCUAUUCAAAUUAUAAAACAUGAUUUUAUUUUUAAUCAGAAAAGUUAAAAUGGUUGUUUCUGAGACAUGGUUGGUAUAUAUAUUUUUUCCCUUGAGUCUCAGGAAAUUUUAUUAGCAGAACCUAUAGCAGGGUGGGAAAUAGACAUAUCUCGAGUACUGAUUCCGGGUGCUUAGUAGAGGAUCUCUGGAGUGCCAUUUCUCAAUGAUUUCUCAUCUAGUGCCCAAGUGUCAUGAUUUAUUAUUAAUGUCUGCCACGGGUGCAGGAGGAGAGAGCAGGACACACAUGUUCUUCUAUUUGGUCAGCAUGUGAUCAUUGAGCCUUUACCACACCAGGCACUUUGCUGAUCACUGGAGAUGUGAGUCCAAAAGAGAAAGGAAUGAUUCUGCUUCAUGUAAUUCACAGGCUUGUGAGGAAGGCAGGCAAUUAAAUUAUGCAGGUGUGAAGCAUUUUGUGAUGGGGGGGUAUGUAGUGCUUUGGGGAGAACAUGAUUGAAAAGAAAUAGCCCUAUGAAGUGGUAUUAUUAUUAUCUCUGUUUUACUUCUGAAAAUGAACUUGUCCAGGGUCAAACAGCCAAAAAUUGCAGAAUUAGAAUUUUUACCCAAGAUAGUCUUACCUGAAAGCUCCUAUUCCUGUGUUAUUACUGUGACUUUUCACUUUAUAUGAGAUGUGAGAAGUGGUAUACUAGAGUCAGCUUGUGCUGUCUCAUGAGAGGUGGUUGUGUGUUUUCAGGAAUUUUGCAAGUCUUUUGACGUCAUGUUGAACUUGAAAUCAGCCAUUGUGGGAGUGAUUUACACCAUAGAAAUUGGCGUCCACUACAAAUCAAGCUUUUUUCUUCCCCAAAGAGCUGGUGGUUAAGCAUUUGUCAGCACACCACUGGUUGUGCAAUACUACCACAUUCUUGAAAAAUUCACAAAAUAUAGUUGGACUUUUAUAAAGAGGUAAAUCCAGUGGAUCUGAAUUUUUAUUGGCAUAAGAAUCAUUUUGGAAGGUGGAGGGCUUGUUAGAAGGGGUUUGGGUUCAGUAGGUCUGGACUAAGGGCAGAAAUUCACAUUUUUAAAAAAGAUCCAAGGAGAUCAGAUGCUGACAGAAAUGAGAACGCACUUUAGGAAAUACUUGAAUGGUUCCAUUUUUUGCAUAUUAAAGGUGCUAGAUUAACUCCCUAGGUCACUGUUUCCAGCUCUGGCUACACAUUAGAAUCACCUGGGGAGCCGAAACAAGAUACCAGUGCCCAGGCUCCACCCCAGACCCAAUUAAAUAAGGACCCUAAUCAAGGAGUUGGUGACAUGUGACCAAUUGUAUUUCAGAAUUGUUAUGGACAAGUUACUUCUCUGUGACUCUUGUUGUCCCCCUCCCUACUUUUGAACUUGAGUGUCUGCUACGAUUAUCUCAGUGUGAUCAUUAUAUGUUGGGUGUAUGGGGUAGACAACUUGGCUUUUUAGCUGAUAGGUCUUUAGAUUGAGAGAAUCACACCUGUUUGCCUUAUCUGUACCUGGACAUGAUUUAGAAGAUGAGAUCCUGGAUCUCCUAUCUGUUGCUAUGAUGAGAUGAGCUCUUAGGGUCAUGGGAGGGAGGGCGUGUGUUUUCUGUGUGAGAGGAAUAUAAAUGAUUAGUGGUUAGAGGAUGGACUGCAGUAGAUUAGAGAUGGCCACAAAGUCUUUGAUACUUCUCCCACCAAGAGGUGGGAUCUCUUUCCCCUUCCUGUGGGUCUGGCACCAAUAGAGAAUGGCAGAAGCAAUGUUGGGCCAGUCAUGAGCCUAGCUUUUUAAACAAAUGGCAAUUUGGUAGUUUCUGUCAGGUUAUUGAGCCCUGAACUACCAUGUAAGAAAUCUGCCAUAUAGGAAGACUGUGUCAAGAUUUACUGAGCCUUCAUGGGGAAAGAGAGACCAGCUGAACCCAGACUCCCAUUUGCUCCCAUCCGUGCAUCAUGCAUGUGAGUAAAGCCGUCUUAUAUCCUCCAAACUAGUCCAGCUGCCAGCUGAAUACCACCACGUAAUCCCAGAUGACACCACUUGGAGCAGAAGCAUCACUUGGUUGAGCCUUGCUCAAAUUCCUGUCCCUCAAAACUGUGAGAUUACUAAAUGGCCCUUGUUUUCAGCUACUAAGUUUUGUGGUAGUUUGUUACACAACAUCACACAACCAGAACUCUCCCGCAAGUGAUUCUGAGGUGCAGCCUAGCCAUUCAGAAAUAGUUCCACCUGGGUAGCUACAAAGACUUUUCCCCCCGGUUCCUUAUCCACACAUUGCCCAACAUUUGCUUCAUUUUCCACCUAAGUAAACUUUUUUUAUGUGGCAAAAAAAAAGAUGUGUCAUGCAUUUGGAGGAGAUAAUCCAUAACAUUCAAUAAAGUAUCAUGGACUCUUUGAGACGAAACACUGGAAUAUGAGUCAGAAACCUUGACUUUUUUCCUAACUUUGAUAUCACUAACUCUCAUGACCUUGGGCAAAUCGUAUAUGUUUUUCCAAUCUUCUUAUUAUAUAUUUUUUAUUUUUAUUUUUUUUGAGGAAGAUUAGCACUGAACUAACAUCUGCCAUCCAUCCUCCUUUUUUUUGCUGAGGAAGACUGGCCCUGAGCUAACAUCUGUGCCUGUCUUCCUCUACUUUAUAUGUGGGACACCUGCCACAGUGUGGCUUGACAAGCCAUGCAUAGGUCCGCAUCUGGGAUCCGAACCAGUGAACCCUGGGCUGUCGAAGCGGAACUGUGCACUUAACCACUGCAUCACUGAGCCGGCCCUCAGUCUUGUUUUUGAUAUUUGUAAAAUGAGUAAUUUAGACUAAAUUGUCUCUAAGUUCCCUUUCACUUGUGGAAUUUUGUGACAGUCGGUGUAAUGAUGUGUAGAAAGUAACUAUCAAGGGGGGGGAUUAUUUUCACAAAAAACACACAACUCAUCAGUCUACUCUUGAUCCCCACUGAUUCAGUUUAGAUUUAUGCCCAUCCACCCAGGGGUGGAAAGCUUUGUGUUGACAUCACUAAUAAUUUCUUCAGGCACUUACCUUCCUCAGUAUGCAUGCCUAUUUUAAAUGCACAACAUUCAAGAAGAAAGGAAAAAACAAAGCUCAACAUCCUUUCUUUUACCCCAUAAAAUUCUGUAGACACUUCGUGCUCAGCAUCAUUGUGCAGGCAAAAGACGCUGCACGCCAUGGGCUGUUCUGGUGGCGUAAGAGAAACAGUAAUGAAAUUCAAGACAUGUAAGUUUGGAUUUACAAUUUGGCAGCAGAUCCCUCUGUGAGUCUUCAGAACAUAUCCAUCUCACCUUAGUGACAUGUUGAAAGUAGAAGGAAAGCAUCCUUUGUGUGGAAAGCUGAAAUAUGUGCCAUCCUUGGACUGUAAAUAUAGUCACUCACUUCCUCCAGCUCCAGUUUAGCCCACUGACCUUUCCCAAAGUCUUCUUUUCUGGCCUCUAGCAGUAGCAGAGGAGCAAACCCAUUGCUGCUAACAAUAUACAUUACAGCAUCUUGAAGGCUGAAAAUUUUCAGUUCCAUGAAAACUGGAAUCAUUUCUUCAAUUCCUUUAUUUUUAAAAAUCAGACAUAACUUCUGUAGAAGUUCAUGUAUUCCUGCUGGUUAAAAUCAAAGUCAAACUCUGUACAUGCCACAGGGAAUCAUCAAAAGAACUGUUCUUUUCCCCCAGAAGUCAGACCAUAAGGACUCCCCAGUAAGAAGAUUUCUCUCGUCCUUCCCUCGGUACAGAAAACAGCAGUACAAAGCAUGACCGGCAUGGUGUUUGCUACCCUUGGGUGGCAGCUGCUAGAGUGCAAUGUUGCCGUCUGUAUUGAAGGGGCCUUUUAUUCCCAGCUGCGUGAGCCAAGCCACAGGACUUGCAAGAAUGCUUGGGGUGUUUUCUGUGAACUUAGGACACAAAGAAUCUGUGGUGUGGCUCUGAAAUAGGAACCCCUGAAGAGAGGAGAGCUGAAAGGGACUUUUAUUAUGCCAGUAAGAACAUUGCUAUUCUUAUACAGAGUAUGUGUGCGUGAGUGCAUGCAGAAGACAGCUCAUAUGUGUGUUCAUGAGGAUAUAGAUAUGCUGUCUCUUUUUUUUUUUGAGACAAUUGAGGUUAUUGUUUUCAAAACCUAACCCAGAAGAGUGUUGGAAUGGCUCAGGGGGCACUGAGCCAUCAUACCUGCGAUUGACUAAGUUCAACAAGGGAACUGCAGAAUUAGAGAAGGAGCCUGUGUUUUUCUUGUUAAUGGUUAAGCCAUUGCCCCUGAUAAGAAAUUUUCAAAGUUUACAAAUGGCAAAAUGAUCACUCAGGCUGGAAAUCCUUCCAAAAUAGACUCCCUGCUUCACUCAAUAUUGAGCAAUUUUGGGGGCUGGCCCCGUGGCCGAGUGGUUAAGUUCGCGCGCUCCGCUGCAGGCGGCCCAGUGUUUCGUUAGUUCGAAUCCUGGGCGCGGACAUGGCACUGCUCAUCAGACCACGCUGAGGCAGCGUCCCACAUGCCACAACUAGAAGAACCCACAACGAAGAAUACACAACUAUGUACCGGGGGGCUUUGGGGAGAAAAAGGAAAAAAUAAAAAAAAAAAAAAUCUUUAAAAAAAAAAAAAAAAAAAGCUUAAAAAAAAAAAAAAAAAAAAAAAAUAUUGAGCAAUUUUGGUAUGCAGGGGCUCUAACUGAAGUUGUUUUCUAUGAAACAUUCGAAUUGAUAUGCUUCCAACUCAUUGUCUCUUUCCUCAGAGGGCUGUGGAACAGUCCCCAGGAAUACCACCUGGUACACAGAGUGAAAGGCUUUGAACAUUUUCAUUCACAUCACUCAGAGAAACCAUCACAGACGCUGGAGGUUUUUGAGAUGAUUAAUGUGUGCAUUCAUAGCCUCUCUUUCUUAGCCAAGGCUGCAGUGAAAAGUGAACUUGAGUUUAUAGUUCAUGUCCUUAACUGAAACAUAGAUUUAGGUGUAGAGAAGUGUAGCUGUAAUGCAAGCAAAACCUUGAAUUUCACCUGAAGUAAGUGGUGGACUCUGUUAGUUAUUUUUCCUCUUAGCAGUUUUUUCCAAAUUAUAGAUGGAUUUAUGAGCAGUUUAAGAUAAAGGGACCCUGAGGAUAGAUUAAUUUUCCUUAAUCUCAUCUAACUAAAAACUAGAGGUCAGAAGCAGGUAGAAUGGUUUUUGGAUGUCAGGCUAGAGUUCCUGGUGAGAUUGCUUAUGUGGAGAGGAAGCACGCCUUUUAAAUGCAGCCACUUUGUGAGGGUGUGUUAAGCGAUGCAAUCUGAAUAAGGCUUGUACUGCAUUACUCCCCUUCCAGCUGGAGACUACCAGCAAAGUGAGAUAGUUCCUUGUUUAAUUUGAUGAUGGUGCUAAGUAAAAAAAAUAACAACCACAACCUCUUCUGAUUUAGAGAAUCUGAAGAAGACAAGAGGUAGCAGAAAAUAUUGAAAUUAAAAUACAGCAAUGGCACUGUUAUUCAGAUUGGUCCAGUUCUUACUGACCCAGUAUUGAAAAGAGGGAGAGUGGCAGAGAUGCUCCUUUGGUGAGGGUCCAGCCUCAGGAUCAAAUCCACCUGCCCCUCUGGCCUGAUCACAUGCACAUAGAUAGUGUGUGGAUCCCUGGCAGUUAGAGGAGACUUAGAAUUUAUAAGAUUUUUUUUCCUGAAGAGCUGUUAAAUAUGAUUAAGUCAAGUGAAACUCAGGAAAAUUCCCUUUUCUUUUUGCAAAUAGAAAGGUAGAGGAAUUCACAGUGAUCUGAAACACAAAAUUGUCAGUCAUGAGAUCAUUCCUCUGCUUUGACCUUUGCAAAUGAUGAGUUGAAUGACCUUUCCCAGUAUGACACAUGGGGACCAAAGCCUAGAACUCAAAGACACUUGGGGGCCAUGUUAAUUGUUAACUUCAUGAUUUCCACACCAAAUAUGCGGCUUGCUCUUAAGCAUUUACGAAAACAGUUUUAUUGGCACAGGAAACCUAAAAAUAGCCAUAGCCUUGAAUACUCACCUCACUGAGCCUGGGCACCAACCAAACUGCAGAAUCAAGGAUUCAGUCAGUCUCUGGGAAGAACUGGGAUUAUGUCUGCUCAGUGUGCUGGGUGUAUGGCUAGUGCUGAGAAAGCAGGCAAGUUGAAGGUCUCCAUGCCAGGGGCUCACCCCAGAGGACAGAGCCCAUCUGGAAGUCAGAUCUAAAAGAAUCCCAGCCAUUUCUGCUGCUGGCUUUUGCAUGCGUGAGUGGACAAUUCACAAAAAAAGAUAUAAAAAAUGGCCUUCAAACAUAUGAAAACUGCUCACACUCCUCAAAAUUAGAGGAAUACAAUGAAAACAAUGGCGAGAUACCAUUUUUUCCCUAUUGGAUUAGCUAAACUUAAUAAAUUUGGCAACAUAUUCUGUUGAUGAAGCUGUGGGGAAAUAGGUAUUCGUAUACAUUGCUGGUAGAAAAUCAAACUGGUACAAAUUUUCUAGACUGAAAUUUUCCAAUACCUUGAAAAACUACAGAUGCACCUACUGUUUGACCCAGAAAUUACACUUUUAGAAAUCUAACCCCAAAUGCACUGCCAAUGGUAUGAAAACACGUGUAUAAUGUUCGUUGAAGCAUCAUUUAUAAUUGAGCAAUGUUGGAGACAAUCUAAAUGCCCAUACAUAGGAAUAUGAUUGAAUACACUGAUUCAUCAACACAUGGAGUACUAUGUAACUGUAAAAAGGAAUAAAAAUGUUUAUGAAAUGAUAGGGAGUGAUUCUGGGACAUAUUAAGUAAAAAAAGCAAAUUGCAAAGAAUAUCUGUAAUACUACUCUUCAUGUGAGAAAAAAUAGGAUAUCCAGAGCAUAUCCAUAUAUCUGCUCAUUUGUGCAAAAGUAAUACAGAAAGAAUAAACCAGAAUGGAGUGAGAUUGGUUACCUACAGGGAGUGGUUGAAAACAGGAAAGAAUGGGGAAUGGGAAAAGAGUAGUGGAGAUGUGAGCAGCACUUCUCUGAAUAUAUCUUCCUGUACCUCUCUGACUCGGAGAACCAUGGGAAUGCUUCAUAUAUCCCUCCCCCUAAUAGUUAAUUAAAUUCAACCAGGAUGUUGAGGGAACCCAAAGUAGAACACAAUAGUAAGAGAAGAACUAACCUAAGUAACAUUGGAAAACAGUAUUUUGACUAUAUACUGUGACACUAAAGACGAAAAGAACUAUGCACAAAUAUUGUAAUCUGGUUGGUAAAUGUGUUUGUUGUAGGGGAUUCUGAAACUACUUUAUGUGUCUGCUAGGAUCGAACAAAUAAAUACUUGGUGAAUAAUGAGAGCCACAUUUCUCAACUAGAAGAAAGAAGUUACAAAUAAGGAAGGGGGAAGCAAGAAUGAACCCUGUGGUGUUGGAAUAAGCGGAAUAAGCAUAAACCCAUGAUUUUUGGUGUAUGUACAGAUGGGAUAAAGAAGUAAAUAUCGAUUAUAUUUGCACAUAUUUUCUAGCUCAUAUUUUCUAUACAUGACAUCCCAGUAGCAAUGAGCACACCUAACUCCUGUAUCUUGGUUCCUGAAUACCAUUCUUCAAAAAAAAGGAGCCAAGGUUCCUUGUAGAUUGGUCAACUCUAACAUUAAGCCAAGGAAAAUAUACAAUUAGUCUGGAACAUUGUGUGGGGCCAGAAAGUAAGGAAAUACUCGAAAACUAAUGGGGCCAUGUUGAAAGGACACAGCUGCCAACUUGAAAGAGUGCCACAUGGUGAAAAUUGGGAUAAUUUGAGCAAUAACAAUGAUAGUAAUGGGAUAUACCCCAUAGAAUAAAGUAACUGUGAGUCCAAAUUGAUAUAAAUAAUUGAAUGAACCUUUCAGUCUGUGAGAAAGGACCAUUCUUCCUUAGAGUAGGAUUCCAAUUAAUAAAUGUAGAUGAAAUGGUGGAAAUAAAAGUCACUGUCAGGCAAACAGUAAUAACUUGCAGGCAGUAACUGUCAUUGGUGUUAUAAUUAAUGAGCAAAAGUACAGUAAGAAGGAUUAUUUGCAUAGUAUCAAAAUUUCUCUCCUAUAGAUUUCAAAGGGAAAAGCAAUGUCUUUAUAGUGGAAAAACCUGGCAGACACUGCCGUGGCCAUGUGACCGAAGUUAACAGCACCAGUAACAGGACAUACAGAUGUUGUGUAGCCUUUGAUGCAGUACACUGAGAAGGGCACAGCAUAACCUUGAUGGUAUUCUCACAGGAAAAAAGUGCAAUUAUGAGAAAUCAUCAGACAUCCAAAAUUGAAGGACACUUUGUAAACUAACUGGCCAGUAUACUUCAAAACUGUCAAGAUGAUGGCAGAUAAAAAAAGACUAAGGGACUUUCACAGAGUAGAGGAGAUUUAGGAGAUGUGACAACUAAAUACCACCUGGCGUCCUGGAUUGGGCCCUGAGCCAGAUCUUAUUUGAAUUUUAUCAAUUUCCCCAGUGGUCCAUGGAUUGGUUAGUAGUACUGUAUGAAUGUUAAUUUCCUGGCUUUGAUAAUUGUACUAUGGUUUUGUAAGAUGUUAAUGUUAGGGAAGUGGGAUGAGGAUAUCAGGGAAUCCUGGACUAGUUUUGCAACUUUUCUGUCUAAAGUUAUUUCAAAAUAAAAAUUAAAAAGCAAUAGCUGGUAAAGAGGAACAAGGGGAGACACAGAAUUAUUUGCCUUUUUUAGAAGCCUUAAGAGGCCAAGUCUUGAAUUGUUACAACUGAAAAGAGUAGCAACCACAUAUGGUCUUGUUUACUUUAACCUAAAUCUUAUUUAAAUCAUCCAUAUUCAGAGAAUGCUGUUUAAAAACGACCCAAACAGGGGCCAGCCCAGUGGUGUAGUGGUUAAGUUCACACACUCUGCUUCAGCGGCCUCGGGUUCACCAGUUCAGAUGCUGGGCAUGGACUUAGAACUGCUCAUCAAGCCAUGCUGUGGGGGCAUCCCACAUAAAAUAGAGGAAGAUAGGCACAGAUGUUAGCUCAGGGACAAUCUUCCUCACCAAAAAAAAGACCUGAACAGAUGGACUAGUUUUUCCUCCUUUGGUGAAACACAGCUAGAAAUAAGAGAUAAGCCAGAGACAUUAGAUGUUCAUGUCUCAAAUUCUGUGUACGAAAGUCCUUAUGCUUUGCUCCAAGGAGAUGCCCUCAGUCCUCUUCUGGGCCUGCUCAUUCUCCCUUCAUACGUAGUCCUAUCAGAGUUGGCUCUGGUUCUGUGGCUUGUAGUAGAUGAGAAGAGAGUAAUGUAUCUGAUUACUAUACAGGCAGAUCUGUGGUGAGUGACCCCAGUAGUGCAUGCACUGAGUCAUAAGGUUUUGUAAAUUUUGCAAAGGUUAGGCCUGCCUGUUGCCCCUCUGACUCGCCCUGGAGCACGCUUCACCUCCUGUCAGAUAGUGCUGGAGUGGCUGCAGGCAUCUCUGAGCUGCAGCUCAGUAAAGUUGGUUAGGGUUUAUUGGGAUAUAUUUGUAUAUUGUGCAGUCACGUCUGUGUAUUGCUUAUCAUUGCUAGCUGACCCGCAGUGGGAGUGUCCUCCGUGAACUUGCCCAUUGUCCAACUGUAUCUAAUUUUGUAUCUGUCAUUUUCUGUUCUUUUUCUGAAAGAACACCUCUGUUCCCCCUGCUCAUUGUGUGAGCUUCAGGCCCCUAAAAAUUUGAAUCCACCCUUAGCAAUGACACUAAUUUGAAGGAAGAGCUAGUUAGAGAUGUUGUAACAAGGAAUUAAGAAGGGAAAAAGAAUCUUAUUAAUUAAUGUAAACAACAGAUCAAAAAACAUAGUGCUCUGGGGGCGUAGCAGUUGGAGUCCCGGGGUUCGCUAGUUUGGUUCCCGGGUGUGGACCGAGCGCUGCUUGGCAAGCCGUGCUUUGGUGGUGUCCCACAUAUAAAAUAGGGAGAGAUGGGCGUAGAUGUUAGCUCAGGGCCCCUCUUCCUCAGCAAAAAGAGGAGGAUUGGUGGCAGAUGUUAGCUCAGGGCUAAUCUUCCUCCUCAAAAUAAAACCAAAAAAACCCUAGUGCUCUGGGGCUAUUUAGCAUGUGGAUUAAGAUCCAACAAACUUUGGUAGCUCCUAAGGCCAUCAUUGUAUUGAAGCAUGUGUGAUAAUUGAUAUUAGUGGUAAUGAUCCUGAGUCAUGAAGAAAAGCUUAAACUGUUGAAUACACUCUGAUAAAAAAUGCAGAGAAGUAUAUAAUUCAUUUAAGGAAGAUUUCCUUUUUAAAUGUUUACAAUAAAAAUGUUGAUGCUUAUACAUCUAAAUCUUCAGUUAUCUAGAAGACAUACUGAAGAAUAGUUGUUUAUCCAGGGAUUUCAGUGGCUGGGGUUUCAGUCUAGUUUGGUUGGGUGAAGCUGUGCUGGUGGGUUACGAUCCUUAUUCUGAAAAUAGAGUAGAGCGUUAGACCAGUCAAUUGGAUCAGAUUUCCUGUGACAGUGACCUGAAUCCUUCCUGCAUGCAUUUUUAGUUUUUCUCACAGAAGAGUUACCAAUGACAUAAAAAGUCCUGGAGAACUAAGAUUUUUGCUAAAGAUGCUUUGUGGAGGUAGAAUGGUAUCAGAGAGGCUAUCGGCCACACAGCCAAACAGAUGCACUUGUACUUGCAAAAAGAAAAAAAAAUCAGACAAAGUAGGACAAAUACUGUAUAAUUUCACUUGUAUGAAAUACCUAGAGUGGUCAAAUUGAUAGAGACAUAAAGUAGAAGGCUGGGUGCUGGGGGUGGGGGCAAUGGGGAGUUAGUGUUUAAUGGUUGCAGAGUUCCAGCUCAGGAAGAUGAAGCAGUUCUGGAGAUGGAUGGUGGCGAUGGUGGUACAACAGUGCGAAUGUGCUUAAUGCCACUGAACUCUGCACUUGAAAAUGGUUAAAAUGGUAAAUUUUGUGAUGUGUAUAUUUUACCACAAUAAGAAAAAGUAAAAAGUAAGGCAACAAUCAAUGAGCAACAGAAAUUGACUGCUUACAAUGUGUCAAGCACGGUACUAAAUAUUACUUCCCGUAUUAUUGUGUUGCCUUUAGCAGCUCAGUAACUCAACAAAGUAGGUAUUAGUUAGUCCCAUUCUCCAGGUGAGGAAACCACGGCCCAGAAAGGCUAAGUAACUGGUCAAGGUCAGAGAGCAGGUAAGUGUUAGGCCCAGGAUUCAGACCCAGGUGGCAGACGUGCUUCACAACGUCAAAAUCUUGCAGACGCAGGUUUGAUCACCAGCAGUACACUCGGCAUGCAGUGAGCAUCUAAUAAAUGUUUAAAAAACCAUUAUUGUCAUGACUGUGAACUGAGUGUGAGAAGUUGGUUCUGUCUUUACUAACUCUUACCCUAAAACUUGGUGCUUUUACCUUUGUAGUAGAAGCACAAAAGCCAUGAUAAAGAAUCAACAUGGAACAUGUCUCCAAUUUAGGCAACACACGAAAGAGCUGGGUUUUGGUGAUAACGCAAAUGAAUCCUUUUUGUCCUGUCGUAAGCCAGUGCCUGGAGUCACCUGAACUGGCUCUUAGGCCUUUUGAGCUGGGGCCCAGCCAGGCCACCGCACAUGUUUGGACUACAUUUUGAUGACUCAGGUUUACUGGAAAGUUCUUUGAGGCCAUGUAAGUAAUAGGGACCAUCUUUGAACCACAUAGUUGAUCUAAGCAUUCUAGGGCAGAAAAGCACAGCAGUGAAGCCUGCUUCAGUCCUGCCCUGCUCUUGUGUCUUUGAAGCUGGGGAGACGGCCCCUCAGGUCUGAGGGCUGGAGGAGGAGGCUCAACCUCAAGCUGCAGAUUCAGCCAGCCUCCCUGCAGCCAGGAGCUCAGCAUGCAGGCUGCCCUUCCUGAAAGUGUUUCCCUUGGCCAACCCGUGAGGACUGCCUCUUGUUAGGCUAAACCCUGGACUGAAAGCUGGUUAUUUUCUCAAACGGUUGCUGGGAAGACUUCUAAGUAUUUGAACCCAUGUCCUUCAGAUUCUAAACCUCAUGCUCCAAACCAAUAACCUUUAACUUUUUGGCUUGUUGAGUUCCUUCCGAUUAUUACUUAACUUUGAGCUUUUCUAAGCAAGCCAGUCAUUUACUGAAGAACCACUACGUUAUGGUGGUGGAGAGUGAGGUGGGGUGGCAACAGCUUCAUUUUAAAUGUGUCAUUUCAGAAGGCUUGCCCCUCUAAUCCAGUGAGGCAUGAACACACCCCCAGGGGCAGGUCUGUGCUCAGGGAUCCAAAUUCUCCUUCUCCAGGCACGCUGGGGUGUGUACGGCCCCAGAGAAGCCCCUAAUCUGAGGAUUUAGCACCGGGCUUCUCAACUCUGGUACUCUUAACACUGGGGGCCAGGUCUUCCUUUUGUGAGGGAGGUACAUUCUAGAUGUAGCAGCAACUUUGACUUCUACCCAUUGGAUGCCAUAGCACACCCCCUGCCCCCAGUUGUGACAACCAAAACAAUCUUGAGACAUUUUUGUGUCCCCUGGGGGCAAAAUCAUCCUGGUUUAGAACCGUGCUUACCAGCAGGCUUGGAGUCACUGCUGCAAAUCCAGCAUCCAGUCUGCUCCUUCUGCCACCAGGCUUCCUCCCCGCUAGGCCUCUUGCAAGGAUGUUUGUGUACUCAGUACCAGCCUGGCCUGGCCUUCUGCUCCACAGCCUGGAACAGGCCCUCACAUGUUCCUAGACCCUGACGCUUCAGUCAGGGGAUCACUGGACCACUCCCAUUUGGAGAACCCUGUCCCAGCAGAGAUCUGUGGAGGUCUGCGUCUGUCAGGACGUCUUCCCUCCAGUUGGUCCCAGUUUCACUCUACCUGGCAUCCAUUUCUCAGAGGCUGAGACUUGGAGUUGUGGCUGUCUCCUAGUUUCACUGAAGAUGGUGCAGGUCUUUAUUUUUCUAUUUUAUUCUUCUAAAAUUUUACUUGGCUUUAGUGAAGGAAGUUAAACUGAACUAUCUAUUCUGUGACCUCCACCUGGAAGCCUUGAUCCAAUUUUACUUUCUGUGUCACACUACUAUGAGAGGGAGAGGAGGAGGGAGAGAUGAGUGUCUGAGCCAGUGCAUGCAGAGCUUUGAUGUGCUCUGCUUCUCCUAUAUUGAUGAUAGAAUUGAGCUAAAGAAGGUGCACUGAGCUCCUCAUAGAACUAUUGAAUUUCAGAAAAACAUGCAAAAAAUCUUAAUUAUGGGAAUAAGAUGAUGGAAAAUUGCUUUAGGAAAUUGCCAUAAAUAUACAGUGCAUUAAAUGUACCUAUUAAUUUUAUUACUACUUAAUGACAGAAUCUUUUCUAUCUCUGUCCACUCAGAUGAAGACAGAAACAUACUCUGUUCUCCAUUUGAGCACCUGAAAGGUCCAGGUUCUCAGGGCCCCAUCCUGAGGCAGGCUCGCUGUCUUCCAUUUGUGUCUGCUCCAGACUUACUGCCGUCAGACAGCCGGCAGGGGUCCCACGGGUCCAGGUGCACAGAUCAUUUUAAUUCAGCUUGUUCUGUGAAGCACAUUAAAUGCUUUUCAUACAUUUAGAUAUCUUAAAAGCGGUUUUGCAUGACAGUGACUAUAAUAAUUCUGGUAUAGGUAGAAAGUGCUUAGUGAUUUCUGGGGGGCUGACCUCAGUGGGGGAUCCCUUUCUCCCCUCAGUCUUCUCCUUGCUCUACUCUCAUCCUUGCUUUCCCUCCCACAUCUUUCCUUCCUCUCCUUUCCCCUCUUCCCUCUUUCCUUUCUUUUCUCUCCUUCAUUCUCUCUCACUCCCUCCCCCUUUCUCCCUCUCUGCACCACCCCUUGCCGUGUGUGUGCACACACCCACACCUCCCCUGUCACACACAUGCAUGCCCCUCCUACUCCUAGCCCUCUUUUUUCUCAGCCCUAUCAAGAGUUUAUAUAUGUCAAGAAAUAGUAAUUUUAG